rnacentral:tRNA from 1 species
GCCCCUGUAGCUCAGUGGAUAGAGCACCAGCCUCCGGAGCUGGUGGCGAGAGUUCGAGUCUCUCCAGGGGUACCA